rnacentral:piRNA from 1 species
GGGACACAGAGAUGAAGCCUCCAGAA